rnacentral:rRNA from 1 species
CCAGACAGCCAGGAUGUUGGCUUAGAAGCAGCCAUCAUUUAAAGAAAGCGUAAUAGCUCACUGGUCGAGUCGGCCUGCGCGGAAGAUGUAACGGGGCUAAACCAUGCACCGAAGCUGCGGCAGCGACACUGUGUGUUGUUGGGUAGGGGAGCGUUCUGUAAGCCUGUGAAGGUGUGCUGUGAGGCAUGCUGGAGGUAUCAGAAGUGCGAAUGCUGACAUAAGUAACGAUAAAGCGGGUGAAAAGCCCGCUCGCCGGAAGACCAAGGGUUCCUGUCCAACGUUAAUCGGGGCAGG